CAAGUACACCCCCUCAUCCUCAGGACAAGAGGAUGGACGCUCUAACAUACACCGCUCCGCCACAGAUCCGCCGUUCAGUUUGUUUACAGGAGGAUGAAUGAAGAGGCUGGUGGUGCAGCAGCGUGCGGACGCGCAGCGUGCUACCGGCUGUGCUCGUGUCGCUAGUAUAAUUAUUAUUAUUAUUAACAGUGUGUUACUGGUUUGACUGGCAGACGACACACUGGAAAAGCACCGAGGCAAGACAAAAACCCGACUUUCCAGCAUCCAUUUGAACACGGUCUCCCUGGUCUACUUAAUAAUCAGAAGAUGCUGCUUAAACAAACCUAAACAUAGCUGAGUUAACAGAGGGUGGGACCACAUAAUCUGCUCUCUGAAGGAUAGAAGUUGAUGCAUACUAACUGUAUGAGGGCCCUCAGCUUCUCCCACAGCUGUGUGCUGUGCUUGUGAAUCUUUUUGAGCUGGGAAGUGAAGAGUCAUGGGCUGUGGGGGCAGCAGAACUGACGCUUUGGAGCCUCGCUACCUGGAGAGCUGGACAAAAGAGACGGAGUCGACAUGGCUGACGAGCACAGACACAGAUAUCCCCUUGUCAUCCAUCCAGAGCAUCCCCUCUGAGAACUCAGAGGCUGGCUUCACUUCUGAGAAAACAAUCAGCCCUGGUAAGAAGAAUGA